rnacentral:rRNA from 1 species
ACAUGCAAGUCGAACGGCAGCACGGGAGCAAUCCUGGUGGCGAGUGGCGAACGGGUGAGUAAUACAUCGGAACGUGUCCUGGAGUGGGGGAUAGCCCGGCGAAAGCCGGAUUAAUACCGCAUACGCUCUAUGGAGGAAAGCGGGGGAUCUUUCGGGACCUCGCGCUCAAGGGGCGGCCGAUGGCAGAUUAGCUAGUUGGUGGGGUAAAGGCCUACCAAGGCGACGAUCUGUAGCUGGUCUGAGAGGACGACCAGCCACACUGGGACUGAGACACGGCCCAGACUCCUACGGGAGGCAGCAGUGGGGAAUUUUGGACAAUGGGCGCAAGCCUGAUCCAGCAAUGCCGCGUGUGUGAAGAAGGCCUUCGGGUUGUAAAGCACUUUUGUCCGGAAAGAAAACCUCUGGGUUAAUACCCCGGGGGGAUGACGGUACCGGAAGAAUAAGCACCGGCUAACUACGUGCCAGCAGCCGCGGUAAUACGUAGGGUGCGAGCGUUAAUCGGAAUUACUGGGCGUAAAGCGUGCGCAGGCGGUUCGUUAAGACAGAUGUGAAAUCCCCGGGCUUAACCUGGGAACUGCAUUUGUGACUGGCGGGCUAGAGUAUGGCAGAGGGGGGUAGAAUUCCACGUGUAGCAGUGAAAUGCGUAGAGAUGUGGAGGAAUACCGAUGGCGAAGGCAGCCCCCUGGGCCAAUACUGACGCUCAUGCACGAAAGCGUGGGGAGCAAACAGGAUUAGAUACCCUGGUAGUCCACGCCCUAAACGAUGUCAACUAGUUGUUGGGGAUUCAUUUCCUUAGUAACGUAGCUAACGCGUGAAGUUGACCGCCUGGGGAGUACGGUCGCAAGAUUAAAACUCAAGAGA